rnacentral:rRNA from 1 species
ACUCCUACGGGAGGCAGCAGUGGGAAUAUUGCACAAUGGGCGCAAGCCUGAUGCAGCCAUGCCGCGUGUGUGAAGAAGGCCUUCGGGUUGUAAAGCACUUUCAGUUGUGAGGAAGGUGGUGUCGUUAAUAGCGGCAUCAUUUGACGUUAGCAACAGAAGAAGCACCGGCUAACUCCGUGCCAGCAGCCGCGGUAAUACGGAGGGUGCGAGCGUUAUCCGGAUUUAUUGGGUUUAAAGGGUCCGUAGGCGGGUUAAUAAGUCAGUGGUGAAAUCCCAUCGCUUAACGAUGGAACUGCCAUUGAUACUGUUAGUCUUGAAUGAGGGUGUAGUGGUUGGAAUGUGUAGUGUAGCGGUGAAAUGCAUAGAUAUUACACAGAACACCGAUUGCGAAGGCAGAUCACUAACCCUAAAUUGACGCUGAGGGACGAAAGCGU